rnacentral:rRNA from 1 species
AUAUGUGAUCGUCUCUCGCAUAUCAAUAAGCGGAGGAAAAGAAACUAACAAGGAUUCCCCUAGUAACGGCGAGUGAAGCGGGAAGAGCUCAAAUUUGAAAUCUUAAAGGGUUUCCCUUUACGAAUUGUAGUUUAAAGAAGUGUUUUCUGUUGAGGUUUUGGUAAAAGUUCUUUGGAAUAGGACAUCAUAGAGGGUGAGAAUCCCGUAUUUGACCUUUACUUUCAACUUUGUGAUACACUUUCAAAGAGUCGGAUUGUUUGGGAAUGCAGUCCAAAAUGGGUGGUAAAUUUCAUCUAAAGCUAAAUAUUGGCGAGAGACCGAUAGCGAACAAGUACCGUGAGGGAAAGAUGAAAAGAACUUUGAAAAGAGAGUUAAACAGUACGUGAAAUCGUCAAAAGGGAAGCGUUUGACACCAGUGUUGUUUUUCUGAAAAUCAAUUAAAGAACUGUUUAUGCUAAGCUUGUUUAGACUUUAUCAGCUAACUGUUUAGUUUUGAGCUUUUCUUUAAUGCACUUUUCAGUUAACAAGUCAACAUCAAUUUCUUUUGCUGUAAAAAAGCUUGAGGAAGGUGGCUUGAGAUUCGUCUUAAGUGUUUAUAGCCUCUUGCCUAUGCAGUCGGAGAGAUUGAGGUCUGCAGCGUAGAUCCUUCGGGGCUAAAUGCAUUUGUGCUAAGUUAUAGCAUUUUAUAGACAACUUGUUGACUAUGAUUUGUCUUGUAGCUUACUCGCUUAUGUUAUUUUACCUACGCUUAGGAUGUUGAGUAGCGACAUACGCAC